rnacentral:tRNA from 1 species
GGCACUGUGGCGUAGUGGUUUGAGUGUUGGGCUAGGAUUCUGGAGACCAGGGUUCGAUUCCUGCUCAUCCA